rnacentral:rRNA from 1 species
CUCCCGGAUGUUAGCGGCGGACGGGUGAGUAACACGUGGGUAACCUGCCUGUAAGACUGGGAUAACUCCGGGAAACCGGAGCUAAUACCGGAUAGUUCCUUGAACCGCAUGGUUCAAGGAUGAAAGACGGUUUCGGCUGUCACUUACAGAUGGACCCGCGGCGCAUUAGCUAGUUGGUGAGGUAACGGCUCACCAAGGCGACGAUGCGUAGCCGACCUGAGAGGGUGAUCGGCCACACUGGGACUGAGACACGGCCCAGACUCCUACGGGAGGCAGCAGUAGGGAAUCUUCCGCAAUGGACGAAAGUCUGACGGAGCAACGCCGCGUGAGUGAUGAAGGUUUUCGGAUCGUAAAGCUCUGUUGUUAGGGAAGAACAAGUGCAAGAGUAACUGCUUGCACCUUGACGGUACCUAACCAGAAAGCCACGGCUAACUACGUGCCAGCAGCCGCGGUAAUACGUAGGUGGCAAGCGUUGUCCGGAAUUAUUGGGCGUAAAGGGCUCGCAGGCGGUUUCUUAAGUCUGAUGUGAAAGCCCCCGGCUCAACCGGGGAGGGUCAUUGGAAACUGGGAAACUUGAGUGCAGAAGAGGAGAGUGGAAUUCCACGUGUAGCGGUGAAAUGCGUAGAGAUGUGGAGGAACACCAGUGGCGAAGGCGACUCUCUGGUCUGUAACUGACGCUGAGGAGCGAAAGCGUGGGGAGCGAACAGGAUUAGAUACCCUGGUAGUCCACGCCGUAAACGAUGAGUGCUA